AUCCAACUGAUGAGUCCCAAAUAGGACGGAACGCGUGUAAAACUGGAU
rnacentral:hammerhead_ribozyme from 1 species